rnacentral:lncRNA from 1 species
GUCUUUUUAGGGCUGCACCCAUGGCAUAUGGAGGUUCCCAGGCUGGGAGUCCAAUCAGAGCUGUAGCUGCCAGCCAAUGCUAGAGUCACAGCAACUUGGAAUCCAAGCCAUGUCUGUGACCUACACCACAGCUCACAGCAACCCCAGAUCCUUAACCCUCAGAGCAAGGCCAGGGAUCAAACCUGAGUCCUCAUGGAUGCUAGUUGGGUUCAUUAACUGCUGAGCCACAACAGGAACUCCUCAAACUAAUUUCAAAUAUUAGAUGAUGAAAUUUAUUUUUUUUAAGUGAAUCAAGGAGUUCCUAUCAUGGCUCAGUAGAAACGAAUCUGACUAGUACCCAUGAGGAUGCUGGUUCAAUCCCUGGCCUCACUCAGUGGGUUAAGGAUCCAGCAUUGCCGUGAGCUGUGGUAUAGGUCGCAGAUGCAUCUUGGCUCUGGCAUUGCUGUGGUUGUGGUGUAGGCCAGCGGCUAUAGCUCCCGUUCAACCCCAGCCUGGGACCUUUCAUAUGCUACAGCUGAGUGACACCUUCAAAUUAAGGACUGUAGGAGCUCAAAUGAUGUAGACGCCAUGGGCAAUGCCUCUUUAUACACUAGAGACGCAUUCAAAUACGUCAAACAUGAGUCAAGCAGGACAUGUUCCAAAUGCUACAUUUUAAGAUUUAAUUCAUGCUGAAAAAGACCACAUGUUAGCAAUGUGACUCAAGGGCCACUGAAAAUAAGGGCAAUUAAUCCCACUACUUUUGCAGAGUAAAAGCUCACCCACUGUUUAUGAACAAAGUGUCUGGCGGCAAUUUGGGACUACAAAAUGGACGUUAACAAAGUCUCCAAAAACAGAGGUCUAUAAGUGAAAAAGUACCAACACUGUCAAGCGAUAUUUCAGAGGAGUUCCCAUGUCGUUCUCUGGCCACCAAAAUUACAUGCAUAUCUUGAAAAAUACCAAGAGAAAUUCGGUUUGUACUUAUAAUCUGCGUCAGCCCAUGAAUUAGAGCUGGUUCAAUCUCCCCAAAAUAGCUGCCCUUUAAUUGCUCACUCAUGGAACAGAUUUCACUCCAAAAAUAAAAAUCUUAUCUGUCUGUUGGUCCCUUGAAGCUCUACCCUGUUACUGCAGCAGAGUGGGCCUUGAAGUCCAUCUGACAGAACUGCAAUCAUUUGGAAAAGUUAUUCAGCAAAAGGUAGUAAAAUCUAUGAGCAUAGAUCUCUUCGUCCCGUCAGGCCCACUUUGAGGAACCUACCACACAGAAAUAAAACAUUGCUACACAUGAACCUAUGCAAUUGCGUGCUCAUUGAAGCUUCCUUUUAAUUACAAUAAUCCAGCAAUGGUUUGGAUAUUCACAACAUAGCAAAUGACAAAUUAACUUAUAUCAAGUGUCAUCAAAACGUAUUUAUCUGAAAAACAAAGGCAACAGUACAUUAUCGAAAGAGAGAGAUCCCUGAUAUCUUUGCAAACUUGAACUCAACAAAUUAAACAUAUUCGGAUCAAGAAAUGUAAACUCUUUUCACCUGUUUCUCUCUGAAUACGAAGAAAGUUCAGUCUGAUCAUGACCAAAUGUUCCCAACACAGUCAGAAGGUGUGUAAGUCCACUUUUCUUCGCCAUAACUUCAUCAAAGCUCUCUUCAGCUCACUGUUCCUCAAGCUGUAGAUCAGGGGGUUCAGCAGAGGCGUGAGAAGUGAGUAAGCCAAGGACAGGAGCUUCUUGGUGUCUGGGGAGUAGCCAGAUUUGGGCUGUAAGUAAGUCAUACUGGCUGUGCCGUAGAAGAGGGUAACAGACGUCAGAUGGGAGCCACAGGUGGAAAAGGCCUUCUGCCUCCCUGUGGUGGGUGGCAUCUUCAGGAUGGCAAGGAGGAUUCGAAGGUAAGACAGGAGUAUCAACAAGAAAGGAACCAUGACAAUCAAAACAGUGCCGGUGAACGCAUAGACUUCAAACAAAAAUGUGUCUGCACACGCAAGCUCCAGCACGGCUGGGGUUUCACAAGAAAGGUGAUUAAUUUCAUUGGGGCCACAAAAGGGAAAAUUAAAAACCCACGACGUUGGCACAGUAGCCACCAUAAUCCCUGAGACCCAUGAAAACACCACUAACUUCACGAAAACCCUCUGGUUCAUGAGCACUGGGUAGCUCAGAGGAUGGCAGAUUGCAGCAAAUCGGUCAUAAGCCAUUGCCCCCAGGAGAAAACAUUCAGUGCCACCAAAAAGAAGAAUGAAAUACAUCUGUGCAAAACAGCCAGCGAAGGUAAUCACCGUUUUCUCAGUGGAGAGGACCACCAGCAUUUCAGGCAUAACGACGGCACUGAAACUCACUUCCACCACAGACAAGUUCAGGAGGAACAGGUACAUGGGGACGUGGAGGCUCUGUUCCAGGGAGAUGACGAGAAUAAUGACGGCAUUUCCCAUCAGAGUCACCAGGUAAACCACCAAGAACACCCCAAAGAGCUGCCCUUGGAGUUCGGGAAAGUUAGAAAAGCCCAAGAGGAUGAAGUCAACCACAGAGCUCUGAUUGUGUCUUUUCAUUUCAGUAGGGAGGUAUAUAUUAUUUUACGGUACAGAAGGUAAAUGACGAAGCCACAACCCAAUAUCAGAGGGUUCAAAUACGCAGCCACUCUGGAUAAUCCUGGCAAAAGCUGUAAAAAGGAACCUAUCCUAACAGACGUUAGUUUGGAAAUUUUGGAAACGACCAAUUACAAGAUGUCAUGAAUCUUCAAAUACAAAAGGAGAAGGAAUAAUUCUGGCUUAGAAAUCUUAUCUGAAUCGCACAAAAUAAUUAUCAAAAUUCUCGUUCUUAUAAUGCAAUUUGUAUACUAUGAACUUUGAAAUUUUUAACAUAGCCUAAAAAACAAAAAUAAAUGCUUCAUAGGCCCCAUUCCUACUAUAUUGUUAUAAGUAUCAUUUACUUUUCCCAAUUUUAUAUAAAUAUGUCAUCUAAUGCCACAGAAAAUAAAGUGUCAAAAGUGACAAAUGGAAAAAUAUACCCACAAACAUUUUCAUAACAACCAAAGAAGUGUAAGUUACCACCCGGUCGAUACAUGAUUGCUGUACACAUUCAUUAGAUUCACAAUGACUGUCUGUGACUUGGUUAAAGGUGGCAGCCCUCAGCUGAGACACACAAGGAGGGAGCAGUUUACAGUGACUCACACCAGGUGAUCUGCAAACUGGGUGAACCGCCUAAACUGGCCAUACCCAUUAUAUUGACUCUGACUUCUCCAUGGCCCAUUCUUGUAACUAUAGAGACCUAUGUUUGAUCAUUGCGAAACUGCGUUUUAAAAGAUUCUUUCUCUGUCCAUCCCUCCCUCCACGACUGCCAUCGGACUCUGUCUCUGUCUCUCUUCCCUCCAGCCCCACUCCACAGCUCUCCUUCUCAUCAGAAAGGUCAUUCAAUCACUACUUACUCAACAAACACUGAGCACCCACCACACUCUGGCAUUGAUUGUACAGCUCAACAGAAGUGACAACACUGCACAGAACCGCAUACCACCUACACUCUAACUCCUGCCCCUUAUGCCUUGCUCCGCUUGCCUCUAUUAUCAACAACUAAGAUUACAUAUAUUCUAACUCCCUACCUAAUACAAAAACUCCAGGAAUAUAAAGGUUUUGUUUUGUUCUUUGCUAUAUUCACCAUGCCUACAACAGCCCCUGGCCCAUAAUACAGGCUAAACCAAUAUUUGAUGAAAACAGAAAUGAAAUGGGAAAAUCCAGACAGUAUUUUAAAGGAAU